rnacentral:sRNA from 1 species
UGAAUGACCUGAAAGGGCAUAAGGAACCUUCAGGAGUCCCCAUGCUAUGCUGGCUGUUUCUUGCAAGUUCUAAAACAUCUCUUAAUUACCCUGACCUUUUUCUCAUUUUCAGUCUUUCCUUUUUUAUUCUCCCGACUUUAAACAUAAAGAGUUAAGAACCACUGAUGUAGAUUUACUGAAACUGUUACAAAAUACAGGCACAUAUUACUGGAAGGAUGGAUCCAGAAGAACUGCUAUGAAGAAAAGGAGAGAACUUAAAUUAGGUGAUUUUAUGGAACUUGGAAGACUAGAAUUUCCAAGUAGGGUAGGGAUGGUCAGCACUGUUUCAGAUAAGCGUAAAGCAGGAAAUUACUUUUACUGAUGUAUCUGAGCAACUGAUGAGAGACAAAAAACAAAUCAGAGAGCCAGUAGACUUACAGAAAAAGAAGAAGCGGAAACAACGUUCUCCCGCAAAAAUCCUUACAAUAAAUGAGGAUGGAUCACUUGGUUUGAAAACCCCUAAAUCUCACGUUUGUGAGCACUGCAAUGCUGCCUUUAGAACGAACUAUCACUUACAGAGACAUGUCUUCAUUCAUACAGGUGAAAAACCAUUUCAAUGUAGUCAAUGUGACAUGCGUUUCAUACAGAAGUACCUGCUACAGAGACAUGAGAAGAUUCAUACUGGUGAAAAACCAUUUCGCUGUGAUGAAUGUGGUAUGAGAUUCAUACAAAAAUAUCAUAUGGAAAGGCAUAAGAGAACUCAUAGUGGAGAAAAACCUUACCAGUGUGAAUACUGUUUACAGUAUUUUUCCAGAACAGAUCGUGUAUUGAAACAUAAACGUAUGUGCCAUGAAAAUCAUGACAAAAAACUAAAUAGAUGUGCCAUCAAAGGUGGCCUUCUGACAUCUGAGGAAGAUUCUGGCUUUUCUACAUCACCAAAAGACAACUCACUGCCAAAAAAGAAGAGGCAGAAAACGGAGAAAAAAUCAUCUGGAAUGGACAAAGAGAGUGCUUUGGACAAAUCUGACCUGAAAAAAGACAAAAAUGAUUACUUGCCUCUUUAUUCUUCAAGUACUAAAGUAAAAGAUGAGUAUAUGGUUGCAGAAUAUGCUGUUGAAAUGCCACAUUCUUCAGUUGGGGGCUCGCAUUUAGAAGAUGCGUCAGGAGAAAUACACCCACCUAAGUUAGUUCUCAAAAAAAUUAAUAGUAAGAGAAGUCUGAAACAGCCACUGGAGCAAAAUCAAACAAUUUCACCUUUAUCCACAUAUGAAGAGAGCAAAGUUUCAAAGUAUGCUUUUGAACUUGUGGAUAAACAGGCUUUACUGGACUCAGAAGGCAAUGCUGACAUUGAUCAGGUUGAUAAUUUGCAGGAGGGGCCCAGUAAACCUGUGCAUAGUAGUACUAAUUAUGAUGAUGCCAUGCAGUUUUUGAAGAAGAAGCGGUAUCUUCAAGCAGCAAGUAACAACAGCAGGGAAUAUGCGCUGAAUGUGGGUACCAUAGCUUCUCAGCCUUCUGUAACACAAGCAGCUGUGGCAAGUGUCAUUGAUGAAAGUACCACGGCAUCCAUAUUAGAGUCACAGGCACUGAAUGUGGAGAUUAAGAGUAAUCAUGACAAAAAUGUUAUUCCAGAUGAGGUACUGCAGACUCUGUUGGAUCAUUAUUCCCACAAAGCUAAUGGACAGCAUGAGAUAUCCUUCAGUGUUGCAGAUACUGAAGUGACUUCUAGCAUAUCAAUAAAUUCUUCAGAAGUACCAGAGGUCACCCCGUCAGAGAAUGUUGGAUCAAGCUCCCAAGCAUCCUCAUCAGAUAAAGCCAACAUGUUGCAGGAAUACUCCAAGUUUCUGCAGCAGGCUUUGGACAGAACUAGCCAAAAUGAUGCCUAUUUGAAUAGCCCGAGCCUUAACUUUGUGACUGAUAACCAGACCCUCCCAAAUCAGCCAGCAUUCUCUUCCAUAGACAAGCAGGUCUAUGCCACCAUGCCCAUCAAUAGCUUUCGAUCAGGAAUGAAUUCUCCACUAAGAACAACUCCAGAUAAGUCCCACUUUGGACUAAUAGUUGGUGAUUCACAGCACUCAUUUCCCUUUUCAGGUGAUGAGACAAACCAUGCUUCUGCCACAUCAACACAGGACUUUCUGGAUCAAGUGACUUCUCAGAAGAAAGCUGAGGCCCAGCCUGUCCACCAAGCUUACCAAAUGAGCUCCUUUGAACAGCCCUUCCGUGCUCCCUAUCAUGGAUCAAGAGCUGGAAUAGCUACUCAAUUUAGCACUGCCAAUGGACAGGUGAACCUUCGGGGACCAGGGACAAGUGCUGAAUUUUCAGAAUUUCCCUUGGUGAAUGUAAAUGAUAAUAGAGCUGGGAUGACAUCUUCACCUGAUGCCACAACUGGCCAGACUUUUGGCUAA